CCUACGGGAGGCAGCAGUGGGGAAUAUUGGACAAUGGGCGAAAGCCUGAUCCAGCAAUGCCGCGUGAGUGAUGAAGGCCUUCGGGUCGUAAAGCUCUUUUACCAGGGAUGAUAAUGACAGUACCUGGAGAAUAAGCUCCGGCUAACUCCGUGCCAGCAGCCGCGGUAAUACGGAGGGAGCUAGCGUUGUUCGGAAUUACUGGGCGUAAAGAGUACGUAGGCGGUUAUUCAAGUCAGAGGUGAAAGCCCGGGGCUCAACCCCGGAACUGCCUUUGAAACUAGAUAACUAGAGUCUUGGAGAGGUUAGUGGAAUUCCGAGUGUAGAGGUGAAAUUCGUAGAUAUUCGGAAGAACACCAGUGGCGAAGGCGACUAACUGGACAAGUACUGACGCUGAGGUACGAAAGCGUGGGGAGCAAACAGGAUUAGAUACCCUGGUAGUCCACGCCGUAAACGAUGAUAACUAGUUGUUCGGUCACUUGGUGACUGAGUGACGCAGCUAACGCAUUAAGUUAUCCGCUGGGAUACGGUCGCAAGNUUAAAACUUAAGGAAUUGACG
rnacentral:rRNA from 1 species